AAUAAAGAAUAAUUAGUGCUUGGUAGUUUUGAAUGGCUUUCUAUCGGUUAAAUUAUGUCCGACUUCAGAAGGAUAUACUUUUUGGAAUUGGUGUCCUUAAGACCGACUAAAAUUUGAAAAUUGAUACGAGUCCAAAAACGAGAAUAAUCACAUAAUAUUUUUGAACGGCUUUACUCGACGGGCAUUACACUAAUAGAGAAUUAUGUUGAGUGAACGCAAAGUGGACAAAAAUUGGCGCACAGAAAAUUGAGCAGGCAAACCAUUAAAUCGAGUGAGCGCGUUUCAAAGCUCUACACGACGGCCGGCAUUUAACUAAAACAGAAUUAUGCGCAAUUAUUGCGCAGACGAAAAGUGGAUAAGAAACUGAAUUGAGCGACAUUCAAAGCAUAGCAUCAUGCCAUAUCGACUAAUGAGACCAAAC